CCUACGGGAGGCAGCAGUGAGGAAUAUUGGUCAAUGGGCGGGAGUCUGAACCAGCCAAGUAGCGUGAAGGAUGACUGCCCUAUGGGUUUUAAACUUCUUUUAUAUGGGAAUAAAAUGUCCCACGUGUGGGGUUUUGUAUGUACCUUAUGAAUAAGCAUCGGCUAAUUCCGUGCCAGCAGCCGCGGUAAUACGGAGGUUGCGAGCGUUAUCCGGAUUUAUUGGGUUUAAAGGGAGCGUAGGGGGAUUGGUAAGUCAGUUGGUAAAUUUUGCGGCUCAACCGGAAAAGUGCAGUUGAAACUGGCAGGCUUGAGUACAGGAGGGGUGGGUGGAAGUCGUGGUGUAGCGGUGAAAUGCUUAGAUAUCACGAAGAACGCCGAUUGCGAAGGCAGUGCACUGGACUACAACUGACGCUGAGGCUCGAAAGUGUGGGUAUCAAACAGGAUUAGAUACCCCUGUAGUC
rnacentral:rRNA from 1 species